rnacentral:misc_RNA from 1 species
UCUCCGUUGGUGAACCAGCGGAGGGAUCAUUACAGAGUUUUCACAACUCCCAACCCUUGCGAACCGUACCCAUUCUGUUCUCGUUACUUCCGGCGGGGGGGACGGGGGGGCCCGAAACGGCCUCCCCGCCCCGCCCGCCGGGGGCGGCGGGCCCUACGAACCUUUAUAUCUCAACCACCAGAAACCGUCUGAGAAGACAAACAAAAUAAUCAAAACUUUCAACAACGGAUCUCUUGGCUCUGGCAUCUAUUAAUAAC